UGGGGAAUAUUGCACAAUGGGCGCAAGCCUGAUGCAGCCAUGCCGCGUGUAUGAAGAAGGCCUUCGGGUUGUAAAGUACUUUCAGUCGGGAGGAAGGUGGUAAGGUUAAUAACCUUGGCAAUUGACGUUACCGACAGAAGAAGCACCGGCUAACUCCGUGCCAGCAGCCGCGGUAAUACGGAGGGUGCAAGCGUUAAUCGGAAUUACUGGGCGUAAAGCGCACGCAGGCGGUUGAUUGAGUCAGAUGUGAAAUCCCCGGGCUUAACCCGGGAAUUGCAUCUGAUACUGGUCAGCUAGAGUCUUGUAGAGGGGGGUAGAAUUCCAUGUGUAGCGGUGAAAUGCGUAGAGAUGUGGAGGAAUACCGGUGGCGAAGGCGGCCCCCUGAACAAAGACUGACGCUCAGGUGCGAAAGCGUGGGGAGCAAACAGG
rnacentral:rRNA from 1 species